rnacentral:lncRNA from 1 species
AGCUGGCCACAUUUGGCUGAUGUCUGGCAUGUGCUGCUCUGCUUUUUAUUUGUGUAAUUGUUAGGCAGGAAAUACCUAUUAACUUGUUAUCAUCUUGUGCUGAGCAGAGUCCUGGCUUGCAGGAAACUCACCUCCUCCCACUAGUGAGAUCCACAUGUGUGUCCUUCCAAGCUGCAUUGCUAGACAUUGCUGACUCCUACAGAUCUUGCCCUGGGUCACUGCACCUGACCCAGGAGUGUGAUGAAUGCACAUUUGGGCAGACUGAGAGAGGCUGAGGAGCUUUCAGGAAGUGUUAUGUGGGAGAGGACUUCAGCAAUGUAUGCAGCCUUCGGCCCUCUUCCUGCCUGUGUCUCAGGA